rnacentral:rRNA from 1 species
GAGUUUGAUUCUGGCUCAGAACGAACGCUAGCGGCGCGUUUCAGGCAUGCAAGUCGAACGGUACCAGUCCCCUUCGGGGGAGCUGACGAGUGGCGCACGGGUGAGUAACGCGUAGGUAAUCUACCAUAAGGAUUGGGAUAGCUCUACGAAAGUAGGAUUAAUACCAUAUAUGCUCUAUUGAGUAAAGAUUUAUCGCCUUAUGAUGAGCCUGCGGCUGAUUAGCUAGUUGGUAAGGUAACGGCCUACCAAGGCGACGAUCAGUAGCCGGCCUGAGAGGGUGGGCGGCCACACUGGGACUGAGACACGGCCCAGACUCCUACGGGAGGCAGCAGCUAAGAAUCUUCCGCAAUGGACGAAAGUCUGACGGAGCGACGCCGCGUGGGUGAAGAAGGCCGUGAGGUUGUAAAGCCCUUUUCUUGUUGAAGAAUAAAACGGGGAGGGAAUGCCCCGGAGAUGACGUUAGGCAAGGAAUAAGCCCCGGCCAAUUACCUGCCAGCAGCCGCGGUAACACGUAUGGGGCGAGCGUUGUUCGGAAUUAUUGCGGCGUAAAGGGUACGUAGGCGGUCUAAUAAGUCAGAUGUGAAACCCUCGGGCUCAUCCAGAGGCCUGCGUCUGAUACUGUUAGGCUAGAGUUACGGAGAGGAAGUCGGAACUCCUGGUGUAGGGGUGAAAUCUAUAGAUAUCAGGAAGAACAUCAGUUGCGAAGGCGGACUUCUGGACGUUAACUGACGCUUAGGUACGAAAGUUAGGGUAGCACACAGGAUUAGAGACCCUGGUAGUCCUAACUGUAAACGUUGUAUACUAGGUGGUGGCGUUUUGAUCGCGUCACUGCCGGAGCUAACGCAUUAAGUAUACCGCCUGGGGAGUAUGCCGGCAACGGUGAAACUCAGAGGAAUUGACGGGGGCCCGCACAAGCAGUGGCAGCAUGUUGUUUAAUUCGAUGAUACGCGAGGAACCUUACCAGGUCUUGACAUAUACCUGAGGGUUGUAGAGAUACAUCCGCCCUUCGGGACGGGUAUACAGGUGCUGCAUGGUUGUCGUCAGCUCGUGCCGUGAGGUGUUGGGUUAAGUCCCGCAACGAGCGCAACCCUUAUUCUUUGUUGCUAACGCGUUAUGGCGAGCACUCUAAGGAGACUGCCGGUGACAAACCGGAGGAAGGUGGGGAUGACGUCAAAUCAUCACGGCCCUUAUGACCUGGGCUACAAACGUGCUACAAUGGACGGUACAAAGAGUUGCGAGUCUGUGAAGAGGAGCUAAUCUCAGAAAACCGUCCUCAGUUCGGAUUGGAGUCUGAAACCCGACUCCGUGAAGUUGGAAUUGCUAGUAAUCGCAUAUCACCCAUGAUGCGGUGAAUAUGUUCCCGGGCCUUGUACACACCGCCCGUCACAUCACCCGAAUUGACUAUACCCGAUGUGGCUGAGCCAACCCUUCGGGGAGGCAGGUCCCUAAGGUAUGGUUGGUGAGGGGGGUGAAGUCGUAAC